CAAGUCGAACGGGAAUCUUCGGAUUCUAGUGGCGGACGGGUGAGUAACGCGUAAGAAUCUAACUUCAGGACGGGGACAACAGUUGGAAACGACUGCUAAUACCCGAUAUGCCGCGAGGUGAAACCUAAUUGGCCUGAAGAAGAGCUUGCGUCUGAUUAGCUAGUUGGUGGGGUAAGAGCCUACCAAGGCGACGAUCAGUAGCUGGUCUGAGAGGAUGAGCAGCCACACUGGGACUGAGACACGGCCCAGACUCCUACGGGAGGCAGCAGUGGGGAAUUUUCCGCAAUGGGCGAAAGCCUGACGGAGCAACGCCGCGUGAGGGAGGAGGGUCUUUGGAUUGUAAACCUCUUUUCUCAAGGAAGAAGUUCUGACGGUACUUGAGGAAUCAGCCUCGGCUAACUCCGUGCCAGCAGCCGCGGUAAUACGGGGGGGGCAAGCGUUAUCCGGAAUUAUUGGGCGUAAAGCGUCCGCAGGUGGUCAGCCAAGUCUGCCGUCAAAUCAGGUUGCUUAACGACCUAAAGGCGGUGGAAACUGGCAGACUAGAGAGCAGUAAGGGUAGCAGGAAUUCCCAGUGUAGCGGUGAAAUGCGUAGAGAUUGGGAAGAACAUCGGUGGCGAAAGCGUGCUACUGGGCUGUAUCUGACACUCAGGGACGAAAGCUAGGGGAGCGAAAGGGAUUAGAUACCCCUGUAGUCCUAGCCGUAAACGAUGGAUACUAGGCGUGGCUUGUAUCGACCCGAGCCGUGCCGAAGCUAACGCGUUAAGUAUCCCGCCUGGGGAGUACGCACGCAAGUGUGAAACUCAAAGGAAUUGACGG
rnacentral:rRNA from 1 species